CCUACGGGAGGCAGCAGUGAGGAAUAUUGGACAAUGGGCGAGAGCCUGAUCCAGCCAUGCCGCGUGCAGGAAGACUGCCCUAUGGGUUGUAAACUGCUUUUAUACGGGAAGAAACACCCUCUCGUGAGGGGGCUUGACGGUACCGUAUGAAUAAGGAUCGGCUAACUCCGUGCCAGCAGCCGCGGUAAUACGGAGGAUCCAAGCGUUAUCCGGAAUCAUUGGGUUUAAAGGGUCCGUAGGCGGGACAAUAAGUCAGUGGUGAAAGUCUGCAGCUCAACUGUAGAACUGCCAUUGAUACUGUUGUCCUUGAGUAAUUAUGAAGUGGUUAGAAUAUGUAGUGUAGCGGUGAAAUGCAUAGAUAUUACAUAGAAUACCGAUUGCGAAGGCAGAUCACUAAUAAUUUACUGACGCUGAUGGACGAAAGCGUAG
rnacentral:rRNA from 1 species